UUACAAUCUAAUUAUCUCCAAGCGCACAAAAGACCACGUUUUAUUAUGUCCCAGAAAACUACAUAAAAAUCCAUAACUUGUACAUUAUUACAGGAAAACCAUUCAUUCCACCAUUCAUUUGAAGGCUCGCGUUCGUAUAGAUAAACCAGGCGAAUGCCGCUCUAAUCCCACGAACAGAAUGUACUGUUUCUGCCGUAUAAAGUCCGUUCGGCAUUUUGAGAUGUUUAGUCUUUGUUGGCGGCCAUGUUUUCUGCUGGUUUAGCGAGCAGCGGGACUUCGUGUCUAACUCGUGGAACUAAACUCGGUAUCAGUUCCUACGAAGUCCCGCUGUCGGGCUGGUAGUGGGCUCGUUCGGUAAGGGAAUGAGGACCACCUGGGAGCAGGGUACUUGACCUGCGGUUAACCGCAGAAACCACAGUUAAUGAGCGCCACGCGACCCGCUGUAGGGGGUCGUCGUUCGGUGGAUCGUUCGGUAUUUUCCCUUCGGCACUUUGGGUGCGAACGUCGAUGCCCCCAGGCCUACCAAUUACAUUGUGGUUAACCGCAAACCGCAGCCCUCUGGGUGGUUAAUGGCUACCACACUCCGCGAGCCGGGGGGGCCGCCCGUUCGGUAGUUUGCGGGGUGACGGGGUUAAGUGGCGGCACACGCCAGUUUCUGGGGGGUCCCCCGUUCGUACCACGAAUGGAGCCUCCCUAAGGGUUCGUGUAAUCCAUUCGUGUGGUGUUCUGUUUAACUUAUGCAGUGGCAAACAGUAUCAAUCAGUGAGUAAAAACAGCAACAUGGUGAUCUCCAG